rnacentral:rRNA from 1 species
CCUGGCUCAAGAUGAACGCUAGCUCAGGCUUAACACAUGCGAGUCGAGGGGCAGCAUUUUAGUUUGCUUGCAAACUAAAGAUGGCGACCGGCGCACGGGUGAGUAACACGUAUCCAACCUGCCGAUAACUCGGGGAUAGCCUUUCGAAAGAAAGAUUAAUAUCCGAUAGUAUAUUAAAACCGCAUGGUUUUACUAUUAAAGAAUUUCGGUUAUCGAUGGGGAUGCGUUCCAUUAGUUUGUUGGCGGGGUAACGGCCCACCAAGACUACGAUGGAUAGGGGUUCUGAGAGGAAGGUCCCCCACAUUGGAACUGAGACACGGUCCAAACUCCUACGGGAGGCAGCAGUGAGGAAUAUUGGUCAAUGGACGAGAGUCUGAACCAGCCAAGUAGCGUGAAGGAUGACUGCCCUAUGGGUUGUAAACUUCUUUUAUAUGGGAAUAAAGUAUUCCACGUGUGGGAUUUUGUAUGUACCAUAUGAAUAAGGAUCGGCUAACUCCGUGCCAGCAGCCGCGGUAAUACGGAGGAUCCGAGCGUUAUCCGGAUUUAUUGGGUUUAAAGGGAGCGUAGGUGGAUUGUUAAGUCAGUUGUGAAAGUUUGCGGCUCAACCGUAAAAUUGCAGUUGAAACUGGCAGUCUUGAGUACAGUAGAGGUGGGCGGAAUUCGUGGUGUAGCGGUGAAAUGCUUAGAUAUCACGAAGAACUCCGAUUGCGAAGGCAGCUCACUAGACUGCAACUGACACUGAUGCUCGAAAGUGUGGGUAUCAAACAGGAUUAGAUACCCUGGUAGUCCACACAGUAAACGAUGAAUACUCGCUGUUUGCGAUAUACAGUAAGCGGCCAAGCGAAAGCAUUAAGUAUUCCACCUGGGGAGUACGCCGGCAACGGUGAAACUCAAAGGAAUUGACGGGGGCCCGCACAAGCGGAGGAACAUGUGGUUUAAUUCGAUGAUACGCGAGGAACCUUACCCGGGCUUAAAUUGCAACAGAAUAUAUUGGAAACAGUAUAGCCGUAAGGCUGUUGUGAAGGUGCUGCAUGGUUGUCGUCAGCUCGUGCCGUGAGGUGUCGGCUUAAGUGCCAUAACGAGCGCAACCCUUAUCUUUAGUUACUAACAGGUGAUGCUGAGGACUCUAGAGAGACUGCCGUCGUAAGAUGUGAGGAAGGUGGGGAUGACGUCAAAUCAGCACGGCCCUUACGUCCGGGGCUACACACGUGUUACAAUGGGGGGUACAGAAGGCAGCUACCUGGCGACAGGAUGCUAAUCCCAAAAACCUCUCUCAGUUCGGAUCGAAGUCUGCAACCCGACUUCGUGAAGCUGGAUUCGCUAGUAAUCGCGCAUCAGCCAUGGCGCGGUGAAUACGUUCCCGGGCCUUGUACACACCGCC